ensembl:piRNA 21ur-1857 ncRNA
UCUGAUGAAGAUAACUAAAAA